rnacentral:rRNA from 1 species
UACGUAGGUGACAAGCGUUGUCCGGAUUUACUGGGCGUAAAGAGCGCGCAGGCGGUCGAUCAAGUCGAGUGUGAAAGCCCCCGGCUCAACUGGGGAGGGUCAUUCGAUACUGAUCGACUCGAAGGCAGGAGAGGGUAGUGGAAUUCCCGGUGUAGUGGUGAAAUGCGUAGAUAUCUGGAGGAACACCGGUGGCGAAGGCGGCAUCCUGGACCAACACUGACGCUGAGUGAGCGAAAGCCAGGGGAGCAAACGGG